rnacentral:rRNA from 2 species
GGGCGUUAAGUUGCAGGGUAUAGACCCGAAACCCGGUGAUCUAGCCAUGGGCAGGUUGAAGGUUGGGUAACACUAACUGGAGGACCGAACCGACUAAUGUUGAAAAAUUAGCGGAUGACCUGUGGCUGGGGGUGAAAGGCCAAUCAAACCGGGAGAUAGCUGGUUCUCCCCGAAAGCUAUUUAGGUAGCGCCUCGUGAAUUCAUCUCCGGGGGUAGAGCACUGUUUCGGCUAGGGGGCCAUCCCGGCUUACCAACCCGAUGCAAACUGCGAAUACCGGAGAAUGUUAUCACGGGAGACACACGGCGGGUGCUAACGUCCGUCGUGAAGAGGGAAACAACCCAGACCGCCAGCUAAGGUCCCAAAGUCAUGGUUAAGUGGGAAACGAUGUGGGAAGGCCCAGACAGCCAGGAUGUUGGCUUAGAAGCAGCCAUCAUUUAAAGAAAGCGUAAUAGCUCACUGGUCGAGUCGGCCUGCGCGGAAGAUGUAACGGGGCUAAACCAUGCACCGAAGCUGCGGCAGCGACACUGUGUGUUGUUGGGUAGGGGAGCGUUCUGUAAGCCUGCGAAGGUGGCCUGUGAGGGUUGCUGGAGGUAUCAGAAGUGCGAAUGCUGACAUAAGUAACGAUAAAGCGGGUGAAAAGCCCGCUCGCCGGAAGACCAAGGGUUCCUGUCCAACGUUAAUCGGGGCAGGGUGAGUCGACCCCUAAGGC